CAUUGCAGUUGACAAGCACUUGCUCAACAACUGCGCUGCACUAACAUACAUCAAUCUUCAAAAAAAAAAAUAUUACUAUUAUUAUAAUAAAUAAAUUUUAUCAAGUACAAUAUUUAUGGUAUUCUUUCACUAGUGCAAUGCACCAAAUGCCAAGGCUUUGGCCACACCAUAAGUUCUGUAAGAACGCGGAGGACGUCUGCAGUCAUUGUAGAAGAGCACACGCCUGGAAAUGUAAGGACAGGAAUAAAAGACUGUCUGCUCAGUACAUAAAUUGCAACGAGGCCAAAAACCAACAUCUUGAGAACAAAAUGCAUUCAGCGAGGAAUGCCUAUAAAGAAACAAAUGGGACCAAAUAGUAAGAUAUAGUAUCUCGUAUUGCUACUAAGUGUAGCCAGGUAACGGACCAAUCACCUCCGACAGACACAAGGAACAACCAGAUUAAUAUCAUAUAAGCUUAUCAGCUCCAACGGAUGCGUGAGACAACGAGCUGAAGGUCAUACAAGCCACUCCACCAACGGAUGCGGGGGAUGACGAGCUCAAGAUCAUACAAGUCAAUAUUCAGCACUCCAAGUUAGCGAAUACGAAGGUAAAAGAACAAAGAUGUCAUCGCAUACGCUGCAUCUAUGAUGAUGUAACCUCAAAAAUAAUAAAAAUUAAAUUGAUCGACUUAAAAAGACUCACAAAACUUGUCUUCAUAUAAGCCUUUCACUGUCCACUGCUGAAGUAGUUUUGCUAAUAGCAGUCACGCUUGGUAGGCGGAUUGGCAACCGCAGUUAGGCUUAGAUCACAACUCAAAAUUAAUGGCAAAUGAUCCGACCAAUAAAUAUCCCGACCCACAUUUACAUCUGUAACCGUACUCCAGGCCGCCUGUGUAACAAUACAGCGGUCCAACCAUCGUGUACAGCCAUGCUAAUUGCUAAUAGCAGUCACGCUUGGUAGGCGGAUUGGCAACCGCAAUUAGGCUUUGAAGAUUUCGCCCUUCCUAAGCAGCAGAUCCUACGACACCAACGUGAAAGGAACGCGUGGUUUAUUCUAUGCCAGGAUCACACGGCAACUUAUAUGUGUGUUGGAAUUCAUAAAAUUUGUUAAUGUUGCCAAUCGAGACGUCACGUACCGAUAGUAGAACAAGAAACAACGGCGACCCUGUCGUCGGACGCCAGUAGUGGCGAGAUGUUUUAAUUACAGCAACAAUGAACUAUAGUGUUCCUUCUACGUAUUUGUUACUAUUCGUAUGAAACUAGUGCCCCACUGUUGCUCGUUUGCUUUGGGGUUUGGGAGCGUUCUUAGAGUGAAGCUUAAGUCGACGAAUACUCAGUUACGCUUGUGCGUAACGUACUGUUCAGACAAUUCUGACAGCUAAAAAUAACCAGCUAUUUAGCUAUUGGCUAUUGUACGAAUGACUCAUUAUAACCGAUCUUAUAGCGUGAUACUAUUUAGUUGUAUAACUGUGCAGUUGCAUUACAUCGAGUUCGAUUCUCGACGCAGUAACAUAUGUUAGAUAAUGCAAUAGAGGCUGCAUUUAAUAAAAAUACUGAAUACACUAGUGAGGGCACAUAUGACAAUCAGGGAAAUAUCCUUCCACCACUAGUUUUUUUUUUUUUUUUUUUUUUUUUUAUUAAACAAACUGCUUUGUUGUCAAUAUUAUGUUAGGUAUAUCCAUUAGGAAAAAAUCUCUUAAUUUUGUUCAUAGUGGUGCCACCUAUGUAAUAAGUUAAGAAGCUUUAGGUAUAUCAACCAGAAUUGAACAGACUAUCCCAAAGUUUAAGUUCAUAUAUCAUAGAUGUCGCUAACUCUUGCUGAUAAAGUGAAUUUUGGUUACUUCAUUAAUGGCAUUGCUGUUAAAGUUUAAGAUAUUUCUUAUUAAUAAAUAUACUCAUAAUUUAUCGGCCAUCAUACGCUGUCGGUUUAAACAGCUAUGACAGCUACGCAUCGCUAGUGCCCUCUACAGGGAUUGUGUUAAACAACCAUGGUACCACAAAAACGAAAAUUGAUCAUAGAAAGUUUUUGACAACAAUAAACAAAUUAUCAAAAAUGAUAUGUGCAAUUUUUAUGAACAAAAAAAAUUUAUUUGAAAAUUUUUUAUGAAAUGUCUUUUUUUCGAAAUUCAAUGACUAGUACUUAACACAAUUAAUGAAGUCAAGUAACAUCAAGAUAAAAAUGAUAAAAUAACUUGCAAGUUAUUGUCUCAAGAAAAUUAGUGAACUAUACAUUAAUUCAUUGUCAUAUCACGUGAGUGGAAGCAGGUGGCUCAGGACCGCUCCUUACGACAGUCUAUGGGGGAAGCCAAUGUCCAGCAGUGGAAGGAUAAUAACUGACAUCCUCAUGACUUAUUCACUUACAAUCGAAGACAGCCUCUAAACGACAAGUAAUCAGUACCGUAAUAAACCAUUAUAAAAAAAAAAAUUAAAAGUAUAUUCUUUAUUUUUCUUUUUAAUUUAAAAUUCGUUUAAUUCUUUAUUUUAACGAAUCAACCAUUUAUGCAUCUUCUAAAGGUCGACUCAAAGGCAUUGUAUAUGCCAUAAAUGUAUUUUUGUUUAUUUUAAAUAAAAAUCUGCAUUUUAAUCAAAGUUCGCUUUUUUUUCCAUAAUAGACAAUUCGAAUAUUAUUUUUAAUUUUACAUAAACUGUCAAAACAAUGUAUCAUACAAAAAAUAGUAAAGAGGUUGCAUUACUUAAAUAUAUUGCUCUUAACAGGCAUAAGGAUUUUUUUUUUCAGCUACUACACGAAAUACAUUUUAUAUAGGUUGAUGGAAUUGUAAAACAUCAAAGCCAUUGAAAACUUUAACAAUGUUUACACAAAUUUUCAAAAAUAUAAUGGCCGCCAAAACGAAAAUAGACACAACUGACGGGCCUUUGACAAAACAAAUGACUAGAGCUAAAGACUGGAAAAAAGACGGGACAAUUUUGAUACAAGAAAUUUGCCUUUAUUUUUAUGAUACUUAGACGACCAAAUUCAGUCCCUCGACCCUGCGACUUUUCGCACAUGACAAUAUUUUUGCUAAACUACAAAAUAAAAAUGUUAUACCAAAUAACUUGCAAGAGUUAUUGUCUUAAGCAAAGAAACUAUCAUUUAUUUAUUGUUACCUGCAGUUGACAGAUAACUCUGUAACUAAAUGAUAGAAGCGUGCCAUAAGAAAAAAAAAAUCAUAGAAGGUAAAUAGGGAAACGAUAUUGCAGCAUGGUCUCCGACCUUAGCCUGUUCCACAACGGAACAAACGUACUAAAAAAAAAAAAACGAUAUUCAUGUUCAAUGAAAUGUCAACGUCAAUAUCAAACUAAAUGUCAAUUACAGAUAUGUCAUAGACUCUAUGCCAGAGAGAAAGCAGGAAUCUAUAAGCUGCUUCGACCAAAAUUAUUAAAACAUAUAUAAAAACGUAGUGAUGUAUUCGUUCUGUUACAAUUGAAGUGAGACUAAACGACUAGACGACGAUAAAUCAGUGCAGUGAAACCAUUAAAAAACAAAAAUUAAAAAGUUACUUUUACGUGCCGGCUCUACUGAGCCGUUAUGUGAGAAAUUUUGUUGUGAAUAACCUAUUUGUUUAUUUGUACCCAAUAUUACGUAAAUAGGCAGAAUCCAGUAUUAGAUAAAGCUAGGGAUUUUUACUUAUCUUCCUUUUUAUACAUCUCUCAUUCUCACACCUCAGUUACAAUUUAAUUAAUUUAAAGCUUUAUGUAUUGUUCUCUAGCACAUGUUUGUAUUAAUAAAGUAUUUUUAUUCAAGUAAACUCAAUAAUAAGCAUUUUUAAAUAGUUUUUUUUUUUUUAAUACAUCUACCAUUUGGUUCAGAAUGUAAUUUCAGCUGAGAACAGACAAGAAACACAGCUGUUGCUUUUUUCCAAAUAAAAGUCAAAUGUACAAUAACAAAAACUUAUAUGAGCGAAUAAAAUGACUAUCACAAACUCCUUAUUGAUAAAAAUAAAAAAUAUUUAUAUACUUUGUCAAUGUGAAUAUGCAACAAUGCAAUUUUGAUCUGCAUUUAUUGCAUACCAUUGUUAUUGUUGUUUAUAUUUAUUUAUUUAUUCUUUAUUGCACAAUAAAACUUUGUAUUGAUUGUAACCUGUACUGAGUACUCAUAAAGGGAACUAUUGUAAGGAGACAAAAACAUUUUUGGUACAUAUUGAGAAUAAAUAGUUACUUUUAGUAAUCAAAGAAAAAGAUGGGUGGAAAGUGAUCAGGAUUAAAAUUAUGAUGGAGGAAGCUUUUACACCAAAAAACAAAUAAAAUUGUUAAAAAAAAAUCAUUAAUAUCAUAAAAUUUUAAGAACAAGUUCCAAAUUAAAUAUUUGCACGCCACACGGUUGAAUGCAGAGUCUUUUCUUUAACAUUAAAUACUUCUAAUGUAUUAAUCUGUAUUCAUGCAAAUAAAGUUAUCCAUUAUUCAUUAAUUCAAAAAAAAAAAAAAUUUACUUGUAAAGUAUGGGAAAUAAAGCUUAUAUUAAAAAUUAGUAAUAUACAAUCCCAGACAUGUGCUUUAGGCCUAUGUCCAGCAGUGGACAGAUAACAACCGAUAUGAUGUUGACAAUAACAGAGAUUAGACACAAGUUGUCAAACAUCAGUAAAAAUGUUUUUUUUUUCAAACUCUUCUUAUGCUUUUCAAAAUGUUAUUUUUUUUCCAUCUUGAUGAUUUAAACGGUAAAUUAAUGCACAAUAAACCUCCUCAAGUAUAAGGCAGAAUAAAUAUAUAAUUGCGAAGAGAAUAAAUCUAUCAAUAAUUCUAACAACUGUUUCAUAAAAAUACAACGACACAAAUAUUAAACAAGAAAUAUAUCCAGCCUAACCUUGGACCCUUACUGCAGCAGAUGAGCAGAAGAUAGAGCUCAGUGGAGAAAGCUGGAGAAAGCUUUUGCCAGGAGCCACUCCGAAUUAAGAGACAUAUUGUAAUGUGAGACUGAGUCCAGACUACCCACGGAUGUAGUGAUACUCACAACCAACAAUUCCCCUUACAACACAGAGGAAUCUCAGAAAAACAAUUCAAAACAAAUCUGAAUAGUUACUCAAUGUAAAUUCGAAGUCCCAUAGCAAAUCUCUGAUAGCUAUCAACACUGCCACAUCAACACUUUAUAAAAAAAAAAUUAUCAUCCAUAUGGAUGCCCUGAACGACUAGAAAGCUGCGUAGCUAACUUGCAUUGAUGUUAGAAAAAAAGUCAGAUGCAAAAUUAUACAAAAGGCAAAGCGAACAUAUUGUUUCUAUUUUUUUUUUCUUUUUGAUUUACUAAUUUUGAACAUGUAGGUACCACAACAAUCACCGAUCACAAAAAAAAGAAUAAAAAUGACCAGAUCGAACAUGAUUACCAAGUUAGAACCACUUUUAUAGAACUACAAUGCAAUGCCACGCUGGAAAUGUUGAAAUUUGAUGAAUAUGGAGAAUAUUUCAAAAAAUUUACCAUCCAUAUGGGUGUCCUGAUUGACUAGAAAAUCUUUUGAAAACUCGCGUUGGCACCAAAAAAAAAACAAAUGAAGAUCAACUAGAUUCGAGACAAUUCGACGAGUAUGCACUGACCUAAUUUUUUAAAAACUGAAGCGAACAUAUCGUUCAUUACAUUUUUUUUUUUUUCUUUUUUUGAAUUACUAAUUUCGAACAUGUAGGUAUUACAACAAUUAUCGAUCACAAAAAAAAAUAUAAAAACAACCAGAACUUACACCAACGAUUUAGAAAUACUUUAAUUUAUUAACUACCAAGUUGGAAAUACUUUUAUAGAACUACAAUGCAAUGCCACGCUGGAAAUGUUAAAAUUUUGUGGAUCAGCAAAAUAUUUAAAUGCGAGGGUAAUAUUGCUGCAAUAAAUGCAAUUGCAUUUAAAUUUCGAGUACACUUCAAUGGUGCAAAUAACCAAACAAUUUCAAUUAAAACGUAACAAAAACGAAAAAAAAAAAAACAAGAAUUAUAUUGUGAAUACGAAAAAAGAAAAUUUUAAAUUUAAUCGAACUUAACAGCACGACAACCCAACUCAACUAAUACAGAUUUAAAGACAGAACCAGUGUUCUCACCUCAUUAUUGAGUUUUCCGGCUAAGCAAAUUAGAAAAAAAAAAGCUAAUAAAUUUGAAAUAAAUAGUAAUUUUAUUAAAGUUUUAAUAUAACUGUCAUUAAACAAAAAAAUAUUGAAUUCUGGAAAUAAUAAUUGUACAAAAUUUACUAGACUAUAAAACUCAGGCCAAAGUAUUAAAACAUGAGAACUUUUAAUAUGCUAUUCAUAGUGGCACUCAUAUAUUAUUAUUACUGUGAACUAAGAUGUUAUGCAUCCAUAUCAAGUCAAUUUAAAGCCCUAUUUAAUAUAAAAAAAAUAUUCAUGCCAGUGAAUAAUAAAUGUUCUACUAAUAAAAAAUGAAAUACUAAUUAUAUCAUACAAGACGUUAACUGUCUGCUAUUAAAAAUAGGUCUCCCCGUUGGAGGAUUUUGAGACCAAUCUUGAUAGGCGGGUUGGCAACUAUCAACUAAGAAAGAAAGGGACCACACAACAAACUAAACGAUAACUAAACAUAUGUAAAAUUUUAUAUUGAUACGGUGAUAAUUGCUAGUGUGUUAACUGAAAUAAACUUUUGUUAUUUACAAA